rnacentral:rRNA from 1 species
GAUGAACGCUGGCGGCGUGCCUAAUACAUGCAAGUCGAACGAAUCUCUUUUAGAGAUGAGUGGCGAACGGGUGAGUAAUACAUAGGUAACCUGCCCCUGUGCGGGGGAUAACAGGAGGAAACUCCUGCUAAUACCGCAUAGCCAUGAGCACCGCAUGGAGCUCAUGCCAAAUAUCCUUUAUGGGAUAGCGCAGGGAUGGACCUAUGGCGCAUUAGCUGGUUGGCGGGGCAACGGCCCACCAAGGCAACGAUGCGUAGCCGGCCUGAGAGGGCGGACGGCCACAUUGGGACUGAGACACGGCCCAGACUCCUACGGGAGGCAGCAGUAGGGAAUUUUCGGCAAUGGGGGAAACCCUGACCGAGCAACGCCGCGUGAGCGAAGAAGGCCUUCGGGUCGUAAAGCUCUGUUGUAAAGGAAGAACGGCGCAUACAGGAAAUGGUAUGCGAGUGACGGUACUUUACCAGAAAGCCACGGCUAACUACGUGCCAGCAGCCGCGGUAAUACGUAGGUGGCGAGCGUUAUCCGGAAUCAUUGGGCGUAAAGAGGGAGCAGGCGGCCGCAAGGGUCUGUGGUGAAAGACCGAAGCUAAACUUCGGUAAGCCAUGGAAACCGGGCGGCUAGAGUGCGGAAGAGGAUCGUGGAAUUCCAUGUGUAGCGGUGAAAUGCGUAGAUAUAUGGAGGAACACCAGUGGCGAAGGCGACGGUCUGGGCCGCAACUGACGCUCAUUCCCGAAAGCGUGGGGAGCAAAUAGGAUUAGAUACCCUAGUAGUCCACGCCGUAAACGAUGGUCACUAAGUGUCGGGGGUCAAACCCCGGUGCUGCAGUCAACGCAAUAAGUGACCCGCCUGAGUAGUACGUUCGCAAGAAUGAAACUCAAAGGAAUUGACGGAAG